rnacentral:rRNA from 1 species
AACGAACGCUGGCGGCAUGCCUAACACAUGCAAGUCGAACGAGACCUUCGGGUCUAGUGGCGCACGGGUGCGUAACGCGUGGGAACCUGCCUUUAGGUUCGGAAUAACUCAGAGAAAUUUGAGCUAAUACCGGAUGAUGUCUUCGGACCAAAGAUUUAUCGCCUUUAGAUGGGCCCGCGUUGGAUUAGCUAGUUGGUGGGGUAAAGGCCUACCAAGGCGACGAUCCAUAGCUGGUCUGAGAGGAUGAUCAGCCACACUGGGACUGAGACACGGCCCAGACUCCUACGGGAGGCAGCAGUGGGGAAUAUUGGACAAUGGGCGAAAGCCUGAUCCAGCAAUGCCGCGUGAGUGAUGAAGGCCUUAGGGUUGUAAAGCUCCUUUACCCGAGAUGAUAAUGACAGUAUCGGGAGAAUAAGCUCCGGCUAACUCCGUG